rnacentral:lncRNA from 1 species
GCAGCCAUCAUUCACCUUCAUCUGCAGCACUUUGCCAGAGCAACAGAUUGCAGAUACAUGGACUUCUCUACCUGCAGGCUAUGCACACUAGUACAGCGGUGUGAUAAGAGCUUCUCCGUGCCCUUCUCUCAAGUGUCCCUGAUGUUAGGAGCUUCGGAAUGCUUGAAUGACUCAUCACUGUGCAUAUUGAAAGGAGCAGAGCUCAAAGAAGAGCCAUUGGAUUCCUGUGGCACAGUUAUGAAGGGAGAAGUUGGAAGAAGAUUGUGAGUAGUAAGCCAGAUCAGAAAUAACUGUCAAAGGAAAACCAUGGAAAGCUACAACAGCCUUCUGUCAUUCUGUACUAAUUGGGAAAUAUUUACCCUUAGCACCUGCUGACAGUACAGCAGAGACACCUGUAUCCAGGUGGUUGUUUUAAGUUCAUAAGGUGACACUGAGAAUCGAGAAACAUAUGUCAAAGACCUAGAGGUUAAUUCUGCUAUUGCAUAUAGAAGACAUAUCUCUAAUGAUACCAUGUGGUAAAAUUGAUCAAAGAGUGUUCUUUU